CCCGCUGAGGCUCGCUACGCCGGCUCGCCGCUCUGGGCCACCCGCCGGCUCCUCCACAGCAGCCGCGGGCACCGCCUGGGCUUGCGUGACACCAAGCACCCGCCCGGGCCGCGGGAGGAGGAAAUUCCCUACAAAAUAGCAAUGGUUCCGAGAAAAGGAUCACAACAAAAUAUUGAAUAAAUUCCCUUUUAAUUUAUUUGAUCAUUCCACAUUACGGGGCUAUGAAUUGCUCAAAUUUGAUAACAAGUACUCAAUUCAACUCAUUAUACUGUGACUUUGCCUGCUGAUCCCUGAGGAGCUGACGGUGAACGCCUGAAUGGGCAGCGUGCCAACUUCACAGCGCCAGGCAGGGGUGGGGAAAGAAGGAGGAGGAGGAGGAGGAAGAAGAGAGACGACAGGGAGAUUUCUGAGUGCAUAAAAAUGGACCCAAACUAUCUU
rnacentral:lncRNA from 1 species